rnacentral:snRNA from 1 species
UCGCUUCAGCAGCACAUAUGCUGAAAUUGGAAUGACACAGAUGAUUAGCAUGGCCCCUGCACAAGGGUAACAUGCAAAUUCAUGAGGUGUUCCACGUUAAA